UAACUUACCUGGCAGGGGAGAUGCCAUGAUCAAGAAGGUGACUCGCCCAGGGCGAGGCUCAGUCAUUGCAGUUGUGCUGACCCCUGCGAGAAUUCCUGAAAUGUAGGAAUCUCGACUGCAUAAUUUCUGGUAGUGGUGGUCUGAGGUCACGCUCUCCCCUG